rnacentral:rRNA from 1 species
AAAGGAAUAGACGGGGACCCGCACAAGCGGUGGAGCAUGUGGUUUAAUUCGACGCAACGCGAAGAACCUUACCAGGGCUUGACAUCCCUUGCCAGUUGUAGAAAUACAAGGUUCUAUAUUUCGGUAUAGACAAGGAGACAGGUGGUGCAUGGUUGUCGUCAGCUCGUGUCGUGAGAUGUUGGGUUAAGUCCCGCAACGAGCGCAACCCCUACUUUUAGUUGCCAUCAUUAGGUUGGGCACUCUAAAGGAACUGUCGGUGACAAACCGGAGGAAGGUGGGGAUGACGUCAAAUCAUCAUGCCCUUUAUGUCCUGGGCUACACACGUGCUACAAUGGCCGGUACAGAGGGCAGCGAAAGCGCAAGCUGAAGCGAAUCCCAAAAAGCCGGUCUCAGUUCGGAUUGCAGGCUGCAACCCGCCUGCAUGAAGUCGGAAUCGCUAGUAAUCGCGAGUCAGCAUAUCGCGGUGAAUACGUUCCCGGGUCUUGUACACACCGCCCGU